GACGGAGGAUGCAAGCGUUAUCCGGAAUGAUUGGGCGUAAAGCGUCCGCAGGUGGCAGUUCAAGUCUGCUGUCAAAGACCGGGGCUUAACUUCGGAAAGGCAGUGGAAACUGAACAGCUAGAGUAUGGUAGGGGCAGAGGGAAUUCCUGGUGUAGCGGUGAAAUGCGUAGAUAUCGGGAGGAACACCAGUGGCGAAGGCGGCUUCCUGGCCUGUUCUUGACGCUGAGGCGCGAAAGCUAGGGGAGCAAACGGG
rnacentral:rRNA from 1 species